CCCUUUGUGGGUUAAGGCCCCCAACAGACCAUUGGGUUGAUAGGCCAGAAAUGGACGCACAGUAAUGUGUUUUGAGUUGACUGGUACUAAUAGGCCGAGGACUUGCCCA
rnacentral:rRNA from 1 species